UAAAAUACUAUGAAAGAGAAAAGUAUUUUAAUAGUCAUUAGUGCAGAGAUAAGUACCUAGGCUGAAAGUACUUUCUAAGUUAUUAAAAGAAGUUCCCUCUGGAGUAUCAUAGCUGAAGUUUAAGUAGGUUAUGACGUUUAAAACACGUUACGUUUUUCGAGUGGUUUGAAUUAUUUUUAAUAAAUCAAGCUACUAGGGUGGUACCGCGAAACAAAAGCCUUUCGUCCCUAGA
rnacentral:ncRNA from 1 species